UAGUCCACGCCGUAAACGAUGAGCACUAGUUAUAGGGUCGUUAUAGAUUCUGUGACGUAGCUAACGCAUUAAGUGCUCCGCCUGGGGAGUACAGGUCGCAAGACUAAAACUCAAAGGAAUUGACGGGGGCCCGCACAAGCGGUGGAUCAUGUGGUUUAAUUCGAAGCAACGCGAAUAACCUUACCUGGGCUUGAAAUCCCGAGAAGACUUAAGAGAUUAGGUUGUGCUCUUCGGAGAACUCGGUGACAGGUGCUGCAUGGCUGUCGUCAGCUCGUGUUGUGAAUGUUGGGUUAAGUCUCGCAACGAGCGGAACCCCUGUUCUUAGUUGCCAGCAUUAAGUUGGGCACUCUAAGGAGACCGCCGGGUUAACCCGGAGGAAGGUGGGGAUGACGUCAAGUCCUCAUGGCCCUUAUGUCCAGGGCUACACACGUGAUACAAUGGUCAGUACAGAGGGAUGCCAACCAGCAAUGGGGAGCAAAUCUCAAAAAGCUGAUCUCAGUCCGGAUUGG
rnacentral:rRNA from 1 species